rnacentral:rRNA from 1 species
GAUGAACGCUGGCGGCGUGCCUAAUACAUGCCAGUCGAGCGAACAGACGAGGAGCUUGCUCCUCUGACGUUAGCGGCGGACGGGUGAGUAACACGUGGAUAACCUACCUAUAAGACUGGGAUAACUUCGGGAAACCGGAGCUAAUACCGGAUAAUAUAUUGAACCGCAUGGUUCAAUAGUGAAAGACGGUUUUGCUGUCACUUAUAGAUGGAUCCGCGCCGCAUUAGCUAGUUGGUAAGGUAACGGCUUACCAAGGCAACGAUGCGUAGCCGACCUGAGAGGGUGAUCGGCCGCACUGGAACUGAGACACGGUCCAGACUCCUACGCGAGGAAGCAGUAGGGACUCUUCCGCAAUGGGCGAAAGCCUGACGGAGCACCGCCGCGUGAGUGAUGAAGGUCUUCGGAUCGUAAAACUCUGUUAUUAGGGAAGAACAAAUGUGUAAGUAACUAUGCACGUCUUGACGGUACCUAAUCAGAAAGCCACGGCUAACUCCGUG